rnacentral:rRNA from 1 species
CAGUAGCCACGGGAAUACGAAGGGUGCAAGCGUUAAUCGGAAUUACUGGGCGUAAAGCGUGCGUAGGCGGUGAGUUAAGUCUGCUGUGAAAUCCCCGGGCUCAACCUGGGAAUGGCAGUGGAUACUGGCUCGCUAGAGUGUGUCAGAGGAUGGUGGAAUUCCCGGUGUAGCGGUGAAAUGCGUAGAUAUUCGGAAGAACACCAGUGGCGAAGGCGGCUCACUGGACUGGUAUUGACGCUGAGGUGCGAGAGCGUGGGGAGCAAACAGGAUUAGAUACCCCGGUAGUCCCUGUCUCUUAUAC